rnacentral:rRNA from 1 species
AUGGUGGCUCGGAAGGCGAAGCUGGCGAAGGAGCUUGAGGGCUUGGGUGCCAUGGCGCUGAGCGAUGAGCUGCUGCUGCUCGAUGCAGACAGAGGCAGCCAGGGGACAGAGUUGGAGGAGGACUGCGCUCCCGCGGUUGAAGACGAACGGCGAUGGCGCGACACUGCAGGAGGUAGCAGGGCGCGGGGACGGCAGGGGCAUGGUCGUCGGGGCUCGUCCAUGGCGGCCCUGACCUCCGGAGCACAACAGAGCGGCGAGGAGGGGUUUCUCCGGCGAGCAGCAGGAUGGAGUGAACGUCGAGACUUGGCAGUUGAGGACACUGGUGGUGCGGCGUGA